GAUGAACGCUGACAGAAUGCUUAACACAUGCAAGUCUACUUGAUUCUACUUCGGUAGUUGAUGGUGGCGGACGGGUGAGUAACGCGUAAAGAAUCUGCCCUUUAGUUUGGGAUAACCUUUGGAAACGGAGGCUAAUACCGGAUAUUAUGGAGACGUCGCAUGACGACUUCAUGAAAGCUAUAUGCGCUAGAGGAGGACUUUGCGUCCCAUUAGUUAGUUGGUGAGGUAAUGGCUUACCAAGACCGCGAUGGGUAGCCGGCCUGAGAGGGUGAUCGGCCACAAGGGAACUGAGACACGGUCCUUACUCCUACGGGAGGCAGCAGUGGGGAAUAUUGGACAAUGGGCCACAAGCCUGAUCCAGCAAUUCUGUGUGCACGAUGAAGGUCUUCGGAUUGUAAAGUGCUUUCAGUAGGGAAGAAAAAAAUGACGGUACCUACAGAAGAAGCGACGGUUAAAUAUGUGCCAGCAGCCGCCGUAA
rnacentral:rRNA from 1 species